rnacentral:sRNA from 1 species
UAGCAAUGUUGAUAUACUGAUAAUGAUGCUAGGUGCGUGAUACGCCUCUUCUGAGGCGCAUCAUGCGCGGGCGAGCGUUUAUCUUCGCGGGGGUGGCGGCUGGGGAGGAUAUGACCAACCACAAAAGUCACCUUCAUUGUUUGGUAAAAUGAUUGGACGCACCUCGCCUGGUGAUGCUGUCUGCUUGGGGCAGGGCAGGGGUGAAUGCUCUAUGGUCCCAGUGCCGGGCGGCAGCUGAGCCUGCAGAGAUGCAGGUUUUGGAGGCUGUGGUUGUGUCUGGUCCUUCCAGAGCAGAGGUGUU